rnacentral:rRNA from 1 species
UUGUCAGGGUUACUCUGAGUGACUUCCGCUAAGGAGAGCUUUUGACACCUCUAAAAAUGGUGUAGAAUAAGGGGUGGGCAAGUCUGGUGUCAGCCGCCGCGGUAAUACCAGCACCCCGAGUGGUCGGGACGAUUAUUGGGCCUAAAGCAUCCGUAGCCGGUCCUGCAAGUCUUCCGUUAAAUCCACCUGCUUAACCGAUGGGCUGCUGAAGAUACUAUGGGGCUAGCAGGCGCGAGAGGCAAGCGGUACUCAGUGGGUAGGGGUAAAAUCCUUUGAUCCCUUGGAGACCCCCAGUGGCGAAGGGGGGUUGCCAGAACGCGCUCGACGGUGAGGGAUGAAAGCUGUAGGAGCAAACCGGAUUAGAUACCCGGGUAGUCCCAGCUGUAAACGAUGCAGACUCGGUGAUGUGGUUGGCCUUGUGCCAACCCAGUGCCGCAGGGAAGCCGUUAAGUCUGCCGCCUGGGGAGAACGCUCGCAAGACUGAAACUUAA